rnacentral:rRNA from 1 species
GAUGAACGCUGGCGGCGUGCCUAAUACAUGCAAGUCGAGCGAACAGAUGAGGAGCUUGCUCCUCUGACGUUAGCGGCGGACGGGUGAGUAACACGUGGAUAACCUACCUAUAAGACUGGGAUAACUUCGGGAAACCGGAGCUAAUACCGGAUAAUAUAUUGAACCGCAUGGUUCAAUAGUGAAAGACGGUUUUGCUGUCACUUAUAGAUGGAUCCGCGCCGCAUUAGCUAGUUGGUAAGGUAACGGCUUACCAAGGCGACGAUGCGUAGCCGACCUGAGAGGGUGAUCGGCCACACUGGAACUGAGCCACGGUCCAGACUCCUACGGGAGGCACCAGUAGGGAAUCUUCCGCAAUGGGCGAAGGCCUGACGGAGCAACGCCGCGUGAGUGAUGAAGGUCUUCGGAUCGUAAAACUCUGUUAUUAGGGAAGAACAAAUGUGUAAGUAACUAUGCACGUCUUGACGGUACCUAAUCAGAAAGCCACGGCUAACUACGUG